rnacentral:rRNA from 1 species
GACGAACGCUGGCGGCGUGCUUAACACAUGCAAGUCGAACGGAAAGGCCCUGCUUUUGUGGGGUGCUCGAGUGGCGAACGGGUGAGUAACACGUGAGUAACCUGCCCUUGACUUUGGGAUAACUUCAGGAAACUGGGGCUAAUACCGGAUAGGAGCUCCUGCUGCAUGGUGGGGGUUGGAAAGUUUCGGCGGUUGGGGAUGGACUCGCGGCUUAUCAGCUUGUUGGUGUGGUAGUGGCUUACCAAGGCUUUGACGGGUAGCCGGCCUGGGAGGGUGACCGGCCCCAGUGGGACUGGGAUACGGCCCAGACUCCUACGGGAGGCAGGGGUGGAGAAUAGUACACUAGGCGCGGAGGCCUGGUGCAGCAACGCCGCGUGGGGUAUGACGGCCUGCGGUUUGUAAACCGCUUUCGCCUGUGACGAAGCGUGAGUGACGGUAAUGGGUAAAGAAGCACCGGCUAACUACGUG